rnacentral:lncRNA from 1 species
GGCGCCGGCUCUGCCGGCAGCAGCGGCCGGAGGCCGAUUCCGGCGACCUCCAAAUCCUACCAAAUUUUAACAGUAGCUUCCUCUCCACUCCCUCUACAACUUUCCUAACUAGCACAAACCCAAAAUCCAAGCCUAACUAGGUCAAACGAGCAAAAACAUCUAAAACACCCUAAAACUUCCACCUCUAAUUUCUCCUUACUUGAAGCGAACCGGAGUGAGCCUUUUUAGGGCAAGGCAGCUGGGUUGGAGACCUUCAAAACCGUACCAAGCUUGCCCGGAUUGGUGGCCGGAGGAGGGAGUUCCGGCGAAGGAGGACUUUGGGCAGCCCGAGGUUCUAGGCGGGAGAACUCCUUCACGGCGGCGCUAGGGCAGCCUUCACCGGCCUAGAAUGGAAGCUGGGUCAGAGGGCAACCGAACGGGACCGGAGCGGCGGCCUACGGUGGCUGGACAGCGGCGAGCUGAGCGGAGGAAACCGGCGGGGGAGAGAGAGCUCGGGAGGGAGAGAGAGAAGAGAGAAAGAAAAGAGAGAAGAAGAAGAAAUAGGCUUGGGCCUCCUACCCGGUCCAAGUCCUAUAUACAACCCAAUUCCAAAAAUAAAACACCCCGAAAAAAUAAUACCUGAAUAAAAAUUACCUUUUACUAGCUAAAAUUUACCAUUUUUACUGUCGUCAUAUUUUUCGCCUACGAAUAAUUCCCCGAAAUUAAUCGUCCCUCAAAACACCUCUAGGGACCGAUUAAACUAUUAUCUCAAUGACGGAGACGGUAAAAUUCUUAUUAUAACCAAGCUAGUAAAUAAGGUAAAAAUUUAAGAGUCGGGAUGUGACAAUUCUCCCCUCCUUAUAAAAAUUUCGUCCUCGAAAUUUACAUACCUGACAAAUCAAAGAGAUAAGGAUACUACUGCCUCAUUUGCUCCUUUGAUUCCCAAGUAGCUUCUUCUACUUGGUGACUCCUCCACAGAAUUUAACAAGAGGAAAAGAUUUGCUUCUAAGCAGUUGCUCCCUCUGGUCUAAAAACUGAACUGGAUCCUCAUCAAAGGUCAAAUCUUUCUACAAAAUAAUCGGCUGCUCUUGCAACCCAUGAGAGGAAUCGGCAAUAUACUUGUGAAACAUGAAUACAUGGAACACAUUAUGUAUCCUGGAUAAUUCUGGAGGCAAAACUAACUGAAACGCAAGAGAGCCAACUUGAUCUAAAAACCCGUAAGGACUAAUAAAUCUUGGACCAAGCUUUGCACGUUACUAAAACGUACCACCCCUUUCCAAGGAGACAAUUUCGAAAACACCCAAAAUACUCACUUGAAACUCAUGGUCCUUCAUGCGAACAUCUUUAUAAAUCUACUGGCUACUAAGAGCUGCUUUAAGUCUACCUCAAACUCCUUUAACCUUUUCAUUUAAAUCCUGAAUUAUUUUAAAUCUUCUCAAAGACUCUAAAUCCUUCAUUGAACUGCCACUAACGUUUACACGUAAGUGAGUUCAGUGAUACCUAUUCCAGAGUACGAGUACCCGUAGGUAUGCACACUCUUUCCUGAGCAAUGGAAAUAGUUAACCCAAAUAAAGCGCAUAAAUUUUCUAUCACCAUCGGGCUCAAAUCUCCUAACGUCACGCGACAACCUCGUCAAUACGCUGCUCACAGCUCGACAAUGAAACCCACUUGCUAGGAAACUAAAGUUCACACAUUCCCACAUGCUCAUAGGGGUCAAAAUUAAGACCCGUUAAGUUAAGUGAACAGACUUUUAAGGAUGCACACACUGCAGAACUGCAACAAUCACUCCUACUACCGAGACACCUCGCAGAGUCUUUCGCGGAGCCAAAGCUCUCGCAAGUCCACAAGAUAACCUUGCUCUGCCUAAAUGACCAGUCCACCAACAAAUGAUAACUUCGAUUUUCGAGAUAACAUUAUGAAAAGAUCAAUAGCACGUCACUUAGGUCUCUCCACCAAAAUUAUUACAUUACCAUUUUAUGCACCACCAGACUAGCAGCUUAUGGGAAUUCCAACUCUCCUGAUUCUACUAUCUCCACUAUUCUCUUUACCACAAACCAGAAGAUAAUCGGAAUCAUGACUAUCAUGUGGAAACUAGGAAUUCCUCCAUGCUCGCCAUAAACAAAACUGACUAAUAAUGCCCACGAAAAAUUGGCACAGUCAAUUCAUGAUGAUAAACUUGACGUUGAAAUCCACAUAAAUAGAACACCUCCUUACCUCUAACAACAAUAAAUCUGAUAGCAGAAAACAAUCUGAAAAUCAGAUAUGCUCAAGUCUCCUACACAUCCCAGGCCACGACUUCCCACCAAAAAGAUUCUUCGAAAACUGAGCUUGCAAUAACUUAUGCGACUAACAAAAGCAAAGACAAAUUUUUAUACAAGACCCACUACUACACCUUGUGGUUCACCAACUAACGAAAACCAUGAAUUCAAGCAAGAAUCAAAACUCAUGGCUUAACUCAACUCAAGCUCCAAAAGAAAUAAUUUAAAGCACACGAAAAGCAAGUCCUCUAACUUCGAGCUCAAAAGCUCCACAGAUCUCCGAUAUUCGCCAGAACCCGCUUCGAAAUCGCACUAGAAACCUCCACUAAUCAUCCUAACACCAACAGAUAAACGCACAACCAAAAAGCAAAGACCUCCCAAACAAAAACUUGGAUCAAUGAGUGGUCCCACCACAAAACGAUCCUGAGAAGAGACGUUGAUCAACCUAUCAAUAAAUCUACUAUUCGCCAUAAUAAUCUCUUAAUAAACCUUGACUCGAAAAACUUCUUGAGUCAACAGGGGAAAACCUUCUCCCAUAAUGCUACAUCAUGAAAUAUACCUACAACGACACAAACCAUCAAAUCAACAUCACCAUGCAACUCUUAAACUACCACAUAGGAUUUACGGCACCAAGACUCAUCGCUUAAAUGAACUCCAGCUCACUUGGGAUCACCACUGGAUUUAUUCCGGAACCAUGACUACGACACAACUACCAAAUAUCAUUUACCUCGAAACUUCGACAAAAUAACCAGAAUUUCUACCCUUCAAAUCGAAGCGUUGAAUCCGCAUUCCAAAAUUUCAAGCUCUGAGGAUACUACCUAAAAACUACAGUAGGAAUAAUUUAAAUAUUCCCACACACACCACAACCAAAACUUUACUCCAUCUCACCGAAUUAGAAAUAAGGUGAGAACAGAUUUGCCGCCUGUAGUCACCCAUUGUGAACGAAAUGAUGUCAAAACCAACUUCGAUCACAAAUUUGAGACUUACAUCAUCCACCCGGAAUGACAUUGCUUAAAAAAUACUUUGGACACCCACGCACUCUUGCUUUAUGAUCUAGUGGGUUCUAUUCUACCGCUGCCACUUCCACCAAUUUCAUGCAUCUACCUUAGAAUUUAUAAAACAAAAACUCAUGACAACACCUAUUUAAAAUUUCACCAUGUGUUGUCGUAAAACUGGAGUGACCACAACCAUCCCGCUCUCACUCCACCAUUACUUUUCGAUUCCAUUACAUUAUCAUCUUCCCAAACACUCAACAAAUUUGGAAACCAAACUUCAACACCUGGAAUUCCAAAAGAAUCCAUACUGGCCCCACGAUUAAAAUAAUAUAACCGACAACUCACUCCAUAAUUCCAAACUUGCUUGAAACUCAACAUUUAAUGCCAUCAAUAAAAUUAUAAAAUUCCCCAACUGUGGCACAACAAGAAGUUGUCACAACGCACUGACGAAUGACUUUUGUAAAACCAACAAUCCAAGUCAUUCUACUUAGUGUUUUAACAAACUUCAACUAACCCACAAUAGAGACCAAAAUCAUCAGAAAACUUACUAUUCAUCGACUACUAACAUCCAUCAUUUUCAAAAUAUAUUACCACUACCAUCUAGAUAAAAUGCUCUAAGGAUAGAAACAUAUCCAUAAUUAGCACUGCAGAAACCAGAACAUAUACCGCCAUAACCAAAAUUAUCCCAACAUGUUCCCAAUUGAUUUAUGUUGCAGAUAAAAUUGUCGGCAAAAUGGCUUUCAAUCAAGACUUAUCUAAAUUGACAUUUAGCUCUUUAUGCAGCAAUACCUUACCAUCCAAUCACUAGCCACAAAUUUCCUAAAACCUUGAUUAACCCAAGACUAGGGUCCUCAACAACUCAUAUAGGUACCCCUUUGAAUUACCAUUGGAUACCUCACCUCAUCAUUUCAACUAACUUUUUCAUCAAUAGAAUACACCACUACUUCGAACUUUCCUUCCAACUCAACUCUCUCAAAAGUCACGUAACUCAAUACGAAAAUCUCCCAUCUAUCAAUUUUGACUCCAAUCUUGCCCACAAAAAAAUGGACAACUCCAAGGCAUUAAUCAUCAACAUUUCACCCAACAGAUUUGCACAAGAUGCUCACCUUAGCAUCUUAAUCUGAAACCCUAAUCUUAAUUAACCCAAUCAAUCAUUGGAUACCUGAAAGGAAUGCUAACAAGCUUUUUCGUUCCCCACUCGCAAAACAACUCCAACAAUUAAUAUCAAAAAUAUUAAAUUAAUGAACCUUGGAAUAGGUGCAAACUAUACACCUUUUCAAAACUCGAAGGAUGAACACUCAAGAGGUCGGCGUACGGAGGCAUAGUCUUAGAGAUGUAGACAUUUAUGGCACACUACUGUCCAUAAAUAAAAGAAGAACAACUACAUCACAAACCUAAUCAACACAUAGUGUCUAAAGCAUAUAAUGCUAAUAGAUCCGCCGCGGUCGGACCAUCACUCUAUAGACACUAAGCAUGACCAAGAAUAUGAGAUAGUACUAAAAAGAGAAAGGAAACGAAUAACCUAGUGCUCUGAUACCAACUGACACGACCCACCCCAAAUUUCACCCUGAAACCCAGAAUAAGUCGUGCGGGGACCACCUCCAAGGAAAAUUUACCGAAAAAUCGGCAUAACCUCCCUUGAAAAUGGACAACCCUUCCUAAUAAUACCUGCAAACACUUCUGAAAAUUUAAAUCCAACCUUAAACUCCUGGAGUCUCCGUGCUCCCCAAAACACAACACCACCCAAAUUAUUUACUAAUCUAAACAAAUCUCAUAUCCAACCAUUAUUAGGUUCAGGGCAACUCUAACAGGAAAAAAAGGAAACAUAAUAAAUUAACAAACGGAAGCUAUAUGAUGACUAUGUCUCAUCCCCAUGUACGCCCGACCUCAACUAUGCAAUCCUGCAAACUGGGCAUUUUUAAAACGAAGAGCCCAGGGGAAAACAUUUGAAACACGUUAGAGUGAGUGGACAAAAAUAAAUUAACGAAUAAAAUAUUUAUGUUUCCCCAAAUCAAUUUCCAAGGAAAAUCGAAUGCAUGCUGCAAGCGAUAAAACUUUUAUCUCAUAAAUGUCGAGCCUCUCAGGCUCUAUAAUAUAUGUAUCUAUUUACACACGUUCAUACUCCCUAUAUAAAUUCAUGGGUCUAUAUAGGGCUACUACGCUCGCGUCCAACGCUCACGUCACGCCUUAAUGCGGUGCUACACUACGCCAUUAAGGUGGACAGACGGGUGUAUAAAUAUGUGCCCAUACCCCCUGUAUGAAUUAACCACUCAUAUAGGGCUACUACGCUUCGCGUCCAACGCUCACGUCACACCAUAAUGCGGCUAUAUGCUACGCCAUUAAGGUGGACAGACACAUAGGGCUAGCUAGCAUUUUUAUACAUACUCUCCUCAUAAAUACAUAUUUAUAUUCACCGAAAAUCCCAUUUUCGGUAACUCUCCAAGAGAAAUAAAAUCGUCAAAAUAAAAUGACGUCAAAAUGCUCCACAACAUUAAUUGUUCAUCUAUGAACUAUAGCAUGCAUUUUAUUUAAAACAAAAGUCCACUCAUAACUCUAGGCAUAAGCCCGACGAAAUCCAAAUCGCCACUCCAAUGAGGUUUCCUCGAAACCUGGCACAAAUUUAAAAAUUAAUUCCCAACUAAAACUCCAAUAUUUAAACAAAAUAGGCAAAAUUAACCGAGAGCCAUAGCUACGCUCAUCAUUGCCUAACUUCGAUAUUCUUAAAUCGAAACGAUCCGAACUUAAAUAUUAUACUCGGCAGCCGUAAUUACAACCUCCCCAAAAAUACGACUUAAAUCCUACGGCCGGAUUCUACAUUAAUUAACCGCCAAAAAUACCACACUUCGGAAAUUCAUAAACCUAUCCAAAACUCAUCCAAAAAUUCCAUAACUCACUUCAACAAACUCCCCUUAAUAUUCUAAAUUUAAAGCCCUAAAAAUCUUCCAAACAGUGGCGGCGCCGGCGGAGGCUCUGCCAGCAGCAGCGGCCGGAGGCCGAUUCCGGCGACCUCCAAAUCCUAUCAAAUUUUAACAGUAGCUUCCUCUCCACUCCCUCUACAACUUUCCUAACUAGCACAAACCCAAAAUCCAAGCCUAACUAGGUCAAACGAGCAAAAACAUCUAAAACACCCUAGAACUUCCACCUCUAAUUUCUCAUUACCUGAAGCGAACCGGAGUGAGCCCUUUUAGGGCAAGGCAGCUGGGUUGGAGACCUUCAAAACUGUACCAAGCUUGCCCGGAUUGGUGGCCAGAGGAGGGAGUUCCGGCGAAGGAGGACUUUGGGCAGCCCGAGGUUCUAGGCGGGAGAACUCCUUCACGGCGGCGCUAGGGCAGCCUUCACCGGCCUAGAAUGGAAGCUGGGUCGGAGGGCAACCGAAUGGGACCGGAGCGGCGGCCUACGGUGGCCGGACGGCGGCGAGCUGAGCGGAGGAAACCGGCGGGGGAGAGAGAGAAGAGAGAAAGAAAAGAGAGAAGAAGAAGAAAUAGGCUUGGGCCUCCUACCCGGUCCAAGUCCUAUAUACAACCCAAUUCCAAAAAUAAAACACCCCGAAAAAAUAAUACCCGAAUAAAAAUUACCUUUUACUAGCUAAAAUUUACCAUUUUUACCGUUGUCAUGUUUUUCUCCUACGAAUAAUUCCCCGAAAUUAAUCGUCCCUCAAAACACCUCUAGGGACCGAUUAAACUAUUACCUCAAUGACGGAGACGGUAAAAUUCUUAUUAUAACCAAGCUAGUAAAUAAGGUAAAAAUUUAAGGGUCGGGAUGUGACACGAAUUCUGUUUAUGCACUUCAACAGAAUUCCUGGCAAACUGUAUUUUGUGUUUCUUAAAAAAUAUUAAGGGAAGAAGAGAAGGAUUUUUAUUCUUUUGAUUUUUCUGGUUUGAUCGUCUCUUAUAGACUACGAAUUGAACAAUUGCAAUGCUUCGGUAGAACUAAAACGUUGCAAUGGUUUGUUCAAAACCAGACUCUUCCAACAGACAUAUCUGUUGCAAAAUAGAAUCCAGAUAAAAGG